AUGAACGCUAGCGACAGGCCUAACACAUGCAAGUCGAGGGGCAGCACAAGGAGCAAUCUGAGGUGGCGACCGGCGCACGGGUGAGUAACACGUAUGCAACCUGCCUGUAAGCGGGGAAUAACCCGUUGAAAGACGGACUAAUACCGCAUAAUACUAAAUUACUGCAUGGUAAUUUAUUUAAACAUUUAUGGCUUACAGAUGGGCAUGCGCAUGAUUAGCUAGUUGGAGAGGUAACGGCUCCCCAAGGCAACGAUCAUUAGGGGUUCUGAGAGGAAGGUCCCCCACACUGGUACUGAGACACGGACCAGACUCCUACGGGAGGCAGCAGUGAGGAAUAUUGGUCAAUGGACGAGAGUCUGAACCAGCCAAGUCGCGUGCAGGAAGAAUGUCCCUAUGGAUUGUAAACUGCUUUUGCAGGGGAAUAAAGUGCAUCACGUGUGAUGUUUUGUAUGUACUCUGCGAAUAACGGAUCGGCUAACUCCGUGCCAGCCGCCGC
rnacentral:rRNA from 1 species